GGCCUCGGCCCCGCCCCCGCCCCUGCCCCGGGGCAGCCUGUGCUGUUCCGUGUGCGCGGCGCAUACGCACCUGGGUUGUCUCGAGCCUGCGGUAGUGGCCAGAUCCCAGACAUCCGAGUAGAUCCCGUGAAAAGGAUAAAAUGCAAAUUAAUCAGACUAGUGGUGAGGCCCUCCGUGGUGUGACUAACCUGCAUCCCGACGUUUUCACCCUACUUUGAUCCAGAAAGCACCUUUCCGCCCCAUCUCUUCUCCUUUCCUUAAAUACCCCUUACAACUUCCUGUACCAUUCUUCCCUGUUCAGCUUCUUCUUGGUUUCUUCGUACAUUCUGGAUCCACCCCUUUCAUGCAUAUUCCAGACCACAUUUCCACUGGAGCAGUUGAAAUGAGAGAGAUGGGAAUGGGACUCACCCGAACCAGAGGAAUUUUUAUUACAGACCCAUUAACAGAGGUGUCAAAGUCACAGGAACAAGGAUGUGCACCUCAGAAACACAGAGGUCAGUGGAAAAUCAGUUUGCUUCUAUUUGUUUAAAAAAUGGGGGACUUAUGCAUAAAUCUAAGACCUUCUUGAAUCUAACAUUCUAAGACCUGUAUGCCACAGAAAGGAGGGUCUCAGAACGCCGGAGGAUAGUAUUUAAAUCUUAAAUAUCUAUAUUGUUCUCCACAGUUACUGGGUCACCACAUAGCAGGCAUUCAAUAAAAACGUGUUUGUUUACUAAGUAA
rnacentral:lncRNA from 1 species